AUUGAACGCUGGCGGCAGGCCUAACACAUUCAAGUCGAACGAGUGGCGGACGGGUGAGUAAUGUCAGGGAAACUGCCUGAUGGAGGGGGAUAACUACCGGAAACGGUAGCUAAUACCGCCUACCAUCGGAUGUGCCCAGAUGGGAUUAGCGUGUUGGUGGGGUGACGGCUCACCAGGGCGACUAUCCCUAGCUGGUCUGAGAGGAUGACCAGCGACACUGGGACUGUGACACGGUCCAGACUCCUCCGGGAGGCAGCAGUAGGGAAUAUUGCACAAAGGGCGCAAACCUGAUGCAGCCUGGCCGCGUGUAUGAAGAAGGCCUUCAGGGUGUAAAGUACUUUCAGCGGGGAGGCGUUGCCCGCAGAAGAAGCGCCGGCUAACUCCGAGCCAGCCGCCGCGGUAAUUC
rnacentral:rRNA from 1 species